UACGGGGGGAGCAAGCGUUGUUCGGAUUUACUGGGCGUAAAGGGCGCGUAGGCGGCCUCCGCAAGUCAGUUGUGAAAUCUCCGAGCUUAACUCGGAAAGGUCAACUGAUACUGCGGGGCUAGAGUGCGGAAGGGGCAACUGGAAUUCUUGGUGUAGCGGUGAAAUGCGUAGAUAUCAAGAGGAACACCUGCGGCGAAGGCGGGUUGCUAGGCCGACACUGACGCUGAGGCGCGAAAGCUAGGGGAGCGAACGGG
rnacentral:rRNA from 1 species